UGAAAAAUCAAAAGAGCAAAGCGCAGAAACACGAAAAAGCAAGUGCGACUCUUAGGAAUUAUGAACAUGCAGCUUUAGUUAUAUUGCUGCAAUCUUUUGAGAGCCUUGCAGCUUUAGAGACAAGCAAAAAUGAGAUCCAGGAGCCAAAGG